rnacentral:rRNA from 1 species
UCCCAGACUCCUACGGGAGGCAGCAGUGGGGAAUAUUGCACAAUGGGGGAAACCCUGAUGCAGCGACGCCGCGUGAGUGAAGAAGUAUUUCGGUAUGUAAAGCUCUAUCAGCAGGGAAGAUAAUGACGGUACCUGACUAAGAAGCCCCGGCUAACUACGUGCCAGCAGCCGCGGUAAUACGUAGGGGGCAAGCGUUAUCCGGAUUUACUGGGUGUAAAGGGAGCGUAGGUGGCAGGGCAAGUCAGAUGUGAAAACCCGGGGCUCAACCCCGGGAGUGCAUUUGAAACUGUCCAGCUGGAGUGCAGGAGAGGUAAGCGGAAUUCCUAGUGUAGCGGUGAAAUGCAUAGAUAUCACACAGAACACCGAUUGCGAAGGCAUCUGACGAAUCGGAGAUUGACGCUGAUGCACGAAAGCGUGGGUAUCGAACAGGAUUAGAUACCCCUGUACA